GACGUAGGGCGCGAGCGUUGUCCGGAUUUAUUGGGCGUAAAGAGCUCGUAGGCGGCUUGUCGCGUCGUCCGUGAAAACCUGCGGCUCAACUGCAGGCUGGCGGUCGAUACGGGCAGGCUGGAGUUCGGUAGGGGAGACUGGAAUUCCUGGUGUAGCGGUGAAAUGCGCAGAUAUCAGGAGGAACACCCGGUGGCGAAGGCGGGUCUCUGGGCCGGAUACUGCGCUGGAGGAGCGAAAGCGUGGGGAGCGAACAGG
rnacentral:rRNA from 1 species